rnacentral:rRNA from 1 species
CUGUCGUCAGUUACAAGUGUCUGGCGAGACUGCCGGUAUCAAACCGGAGGAAGGUGGGGAUGACGUCAAGUCAGCAUGGCCUUUAUAUCCAGGGCUACACACACGCUACAAUGGGCGGUACAAUGGGCAGCGAAAGGGCGACCUGGAGCGAAUCCCAACAAAGCCGCUCGUAGUUSMRRUUSSAGGCUGCAACCCGCCUGCAUGAAGCCGGA